CAGCGCAAACAACAUGCUCCAAGUUUGCUGGUCAGGCGAGUAAAGUGGUGACUGUUGGUAACACGUGUUAUUAUGGCUUCUCUUCCACUGAGUACUGGGAUAAUGCGCAGACCCGCUGUGAGUCUCAAGGAACUCACCUGGUGCACCUGCAGACGAUAACCAAGCAGAGGGACGUGUACGCUGCUUUAGGUUCCGACUUUACGCAGCACUGGAUGGGUCUGGUGUACCUGAACAGCGAGUGGAAGUGGUACACCAACACCCAGAACACGGUGUCGGCGAUGAAUGACGUGGACACCCGGUGGGAGGGAGGUCAUCGGGGGAGAGUGCCUACACUACCAGCUCCACCAACCAGUGGGUACUCAAGGCCACACAGCGUACGAGCUGGUACAGGGCUGUGUGUGAAGACGGAACAUCGUCUGUAGGAUCCCAAACAGACGUCAGUCCGUCAACAUAUCUUACAACAGUCCCCUCGCAACCUUCCUCUGCAACAGUUGCUGCAACGCAAACAACGUGCUCCAAGUUUGCUGGUCAGGCGAGUAAAGGUGGUGACUGUUGGUAACACGUGUUAUUAUGGCUUCUCUUCCAAUGAGUACUGGGAUGCUGCGCAGACCCGCUGUGAAUCUCAAGGAACUCACCUGGUGCACCUGCAGACGAUAACCAAGCAGAGGACGUGUACGCUGCUCUCGGUCCCGACUUUACGCAGCACUGGAUGGGUCUGGUGUACCUGAACAACGAGUGGGAGUGGUACACCAACACCCAAAACACGGUGUCGGCGAUGAACGACGUGGACACCCGGUGGGAGGGAGGGUCAUCGGGGGAGAGUGCCUACACCACCAGCUCCAGCAACCAGUGGGUACUCAAGGCCACACCGCGUACGAGCUGGUACAGGGCUGUGUGUGAAGACGGAACAUCGUCUGUAGCAUCCACCCUGAGAUCCCCAGAUUCUACAACGACGGCCAUCGUGGUAUCUACUGCUACCCAAAGCUCUACAUUAUCCACAACAGUGGGCUCAACAGUGUCUACUUCCACCCAGAAAUCCACAGUAACCACAUCAGUGAGUUCAGCAUCAUCUUCCUCUUCACAAACAUCGACAGUAUCCACAACAGGGACUACAUUAUCCACAACAGUGGGCUCAACAGUGUCUACUUCCACCCAGAAAUCCACAGUAACCACAUCAGUGAGUUCAGCAUCAUCUUCUUCGACACAAACAUCGACAGUAUCCACAACAGGGACUUCACUACAAUCAUCUAACACAGGGUCAAAAACAACGUCUUAGCAGCAUCUACCCUGGAAUCUCAUUCCUCUUCAGUUGACUCAUCUCCAUCUACCAUAGGUUCGACAGCAUCUACCCAGAAGUUCAACAACGUCAGUGGUAGAUUCCAAAGUUUCUACCACGAACUCCUUCAAAAUCAGUUUGGAUUCAUUUGUACUUCAGACCCCAUCAGCCUCUACAUCAGAUUCAACAUUUUUCACCGUCAACACAACAGCUUCCUCAGUGAACUCAGCAAGAUCAACCUUGAACUCAUCAGCGUCUGCAGCAGACAGCAAUACUUCCACUGCCGUUACAACAACAAUGACUACUAAGAGUUCAACUAAUCCUAUCUACAUAGGCAUCUUCUACAGGCGAAGUUCACUGACUGGAACUCGACUGCUGUACCAGAGCUCGUGUGCGAGCAAGCGAGAAUGCGCAAGCAACGUGCCUCGAGGUUCAGGAAUGCCGCCAUUUUGUCUUUGAAAGAGUAAGGAACACUUGUUUGCUUGUCCAGGAGGAUCUAGGAGCGACACCUACUUGGACACAUGGCUGCGCCUCUCCUUACACGUGUUACACUCUGAGGUGACUUGGCACUCCAGGAUCGUUCAUGGAAUUUUUGUGACUUCAGACACUGACAGACAACCCGUUCAUUCCUUUUCAUUAUCAGUCUCGCUGGUUUAUAAAAUGAUCCGGUGAUCCGAUCUUUAUGCUUAAAUUAUCUAUGUCCUAUUAAACCUUGCUGUUAAUUUUUUGUCACAUUGAAGUACUUGUUUAUAAAUUUACUCAAAAUGAUCUUAAAUGAUAUUAGUUUCCGUGUGUUUGAAAUAUUUGAUAUUGUCCCCUUUAGAGACUAGAAUGUUUUCAAUUUAUUCUCUGCGUGCAUAAAAGCUAUUCAUUUUGAUUCAUAGCCAAUGUUUUAGCCUCAUCAUGGCUUUCUGGGAUUUUAAACGACGGUUAUUUACAAAAUUUGCCAAUUAUCUGUCCUCACCAGACAGAGCACGAUGUCAUUUCUUUCGUGUUUUUUUUAUCCUUCUUUUGUUCUUUUGUUUGCUAAGUUUGACAUUGCUCAGAAAGUUGUACACAGAACUCUUUUCUAAGCCACCACCACCCCACAACCAUCACCACCACCACCACCACUACUGCAGCAGCA